AAUACAUAUUCUUGACCCUUCUUCCUGGCAAGGCCAAUGUAGUCUGCUAAAGUAAUUUUUACACAUUCUCUCUCUUCAUUGUUUCCAAUACCCAAUUGACCAUCUUCUCUAGAGCCCCUAAACAAUAAACACAUGCAUCUAUACAAUAAACAUAGUGAUUGCUUUGAUAAAUUGAAGGGGCUAAAAAAAAAGUUUGAAUAGCGUACCAAGGCGGUUCUGGAAGCCAUGCUCUCAGUUUACUGUGUAUUUUUCGCUGCUAAGAAUAGAUUACUCUUGCUUAUGGCAUCCGUAGCAAGCUCCAAUUUGCGGGUGAAGAAAUACUCAUCUACGUUGAUGCUUCAAUUUUGGGCAAGGGUAAAAGCAAAUAAUGGAAGAAUCUGAGUAUUAUGAUGUUCGUGGUGUUGCUUCUGUAGCAUCUCCAGAAGAGAUAUGCAGAGCCUAUUAUCUCAAGGUGAGAGGUGACAUCCUGCAAGUACUUCCAUUCUGUGAUUAGAUGUUUGUAGUUGUGGCAUUGCUCUCAUACCUGAGAAGAGUUUUCCUACUUUGGCAGCGACUAGAUCUCGUCUCACUGUUGCAUUCAUGUCCAAAACCAACCGUUGGGACUCCGGCUUACAUUGCUCUAGAGGUCUUGUCCAGAAGAGAAUAUGAUGACAAGCUUUCUGAUUCCUUGGGAUAGCUGCUUGCGUGGUAUAGAGAUUUUGGAAGCUGAAGAGUGGAGAUGUGUGAUUUUUCAGCCUCUAUACAAGUGAGAGUUUCUUUAGGUGGAAUUCUUCCACCAACUACCAAUGGCACUGAUAAGCUCAUAUGUAGGAGUUGGACAAGAUUACUAGUCUAUAAAGCUUAUUUUUGUUGGGGAACACCCUUUUAUAUUAGCUCUGUUGACAGGCAAAUAUGGUCAUUCAAUUGAAGCAUGGGACUAUUUGAAUGAGGACACAAGUAUGAACACAAUAUAGAUAUCUGCAUCUUUCCUUUCUUGUGUUAAACCAUACCAACAUUAUUAAUUUGAAGGAGUGAAAAUAUAGAGCCUGCAUUCAGUGUGUA